rnacentral:rRNA from 1 species
UGAGGAAUAUUGGUCAAUGGGCGAGAGCCUGAACCAGCCAAGUAGCGUGCAGGAUGACGGCCCUAUGGGUUGUAAACUGCUUUUAUAUGGGAAUAAAGUGAGGGACGUGUCCCUUAUUGCAUGCACCAUACGAAUAAGGACCGGCUAAUUCCGUGCCAGCAGCCGCGGUAAUACGGAAGGUCCAGGCGUUAUCCGGAUUUAUUGGGUUUAAAGGGAGCGUAGGCUGUUUGUUAAGCGUGUUGUGAAAUGUAGGAGCUCAACUUUUAGAUUGCAGCGCGAACUGGCAGACUUGAGUGCGCACAACGUAGGCGGAAUUCAUGGUGUAGCGGUGAAAUGCUUAGAUAUCAUGACGAACUCCGAUUGCGAAGGCAGCUUACGGGAGCGCAACUGACGCUAAAGCUCGAAGGUGCGGGUAUCGAACAGG